GUCUCUGUAGCGCAGUGGAUAUCGCGUUGGGCUUCUAAUUCAAAGGUCGUGGGAUUGAAUCCCACCUGGGAUG